rnacentral:rRNA from 1 species
CCUACGGGAGGCAGCAGUGGGGAAUAUUGCACAAUGGGGGAAACCCUGAUGCAGCGACGCCGCGUGAGUGAAGAAGGAAUUCGUUAUGUAAAGCUCUAUCAGCAGGGAAGAAAAUGACGGUACCUGAGUAAGAAGCCCCGGCUAACUACGUGCCAGCAGCCGCGGUAAUACGGAGGGGGCAAGCGUGAUCCGGAUUUACUGGGUGUAAAGGUAGCGUAGGCGGCAUGGCAAGUAUGGUGUGAAAGGCGGGGGCUCAACCCGGGGACUGCAUGUGAAACUGUUCGACUGGAGUGCGGGAGAGGAGAGUGGAAUUCCAGGUGUAGGGGUGAAAUGCGUAGAUAUUAGGAGGAAAAGCAGUGGCGAAGGCGACUAGCUGGAACAUAACUGACGCUGAGGAGCGAAAGCGUGGGGAGCAAACAGGAUUAGAUACCCCUGUAGUC